CGCCAGACUCCUACGGGAGGCAGCAGUGGGGGAUAUUGCACAAUGGGGGAAACCCUGAUGCAGCGACGCCGCGUGGGUGAAGAAGUAUUUCGGUAUGUAAAGCCCUAUCAGCAGGGAAGAAAGAAGACGGUACCUGACUAAGAAGCCCCGGCUAACUACGUGCCAGCAGCCGCGGUAAUACGUAGGGGGCGAGCGUUAUCCGGAUUCACUGGGUGUAAAGGGAGCGUAGACGGCCGUGCAAGCCAGGAGUGAAAGCCCGGGGCCCAACCCCGGGACUGCUCUUGGAACUGUGCGGCUGGAGUGCGGGAGGGGCAGGCGGAAUUCCUGGUGUAGCGGUGAAAUGCGUAGAUAUCAGGAGGAACACCGGCGGCGAAGGCGGCCUGCUGGACUGCAACUGACGUUGAGGCUCGAAGGCGUGGGGAGCAAACAGGAUUAGAUCCCCCCGUA
rnacentral:rRNA from 1 species